rnacentral:rRNA from 1 species
AAUGAACGCUGGCGGCGCGCCUAAUACAUGCAAGUCGAGCGAGAAGACGUAGCAAUACGUUUGUAAAGCGGCGAACGGGUGAGGAAUACAUGGGUAACCUACCCUAGAGUGGGGAAUAACUAGCCGAAAGGUUAGCUAAUACCGCGUACGCUCCUUGGACUUCGGUUCAGGGAGGAAAGCGAUGCCGUGGGUAUCGCGCUCUUGGAUGGGCUCAUGUCCUAUCAGCUUGUUGGGAGGUAACGGCUCACCAAGGCUUCGACGGGUAGCUGGUCUGAGAGGACGAUCAGCCACACUGGCACUGCGACACGGGCCAGACUCCUACGGAGGCAGCAGUAAGGAAUAUUGCGCAAUGGGCGAAAGCCUGACGCAGCGACGCCGCGUGGGGGAUGAAGGUCUUCGGAUUGUAAACCCCUUUCGGGAGGGAAGAUGGAACGAGCAAUCGUUCGGACGGUACCUCCAGAAGCAGCCACGGCUAAC